AAGCCCAGCUUGCUGGGUGGAUUAGUGGCGAACGGGUGAGUAACACGUGAGUAACCUGCCCUGGACUCUGGGAUAACCCCGAGAAAUCGGAGCUAAUACCGGAUAGGACCUUUCCCCGCAUGGGGUUUGGUGGAAAGUUUUUUCGGUUUGGGAUGGACUCGCGGCCUAUCAGCUUGUUGGUGAGGUAAUGGCUCACCAAGGCGUCGACGGGUAGCCGGCCUGAGAGGGUGACCGGCCACACUGGGACUGAGACACGGCCCAGACUCCUACGGGAGGCAGCAGUGGGGAAUAUUGCACAAUGGGCGCAAGCCUGAUGCAGCAACGCCGCGUGCGGGAUGACGGCCUUCGGGUUGUAAACCGCUUUUAGUAGGGAAGAAGGGCUUCGGCUUGACGGUACCUGCAGAAAAAGGACCGGCUAACUACGUGCCAGCAGCCGCGGUAAUACGUAGGGUCCGAGCGUUGUCCGGAAUUAUUGGGCGUAAAGAGCUCGUAGGCGGUUUGUCGCGUCUGCUGUGAAAACUAGAGGCUCAACCUCUAGCCUGCAGUGGGUACGGGCAGACUUGAGUGGUGUAGGGGAGACUGGAAUUCCUGGUGUAGCGGUGGAAUGCGCAGAUAUCAGGAGGAACACCGAUGGCGAAGGCAGGUCUCUGGGCACUUACUGACGCUGAGGAGCGAAAGCGUGGGGAGCGAACAGGAUUAGAUACCCUGGUAGUCCACGCCGUAAACGUUGGGCGCUAGAUGUGGGGACCUUUCCACGGUUUCCGUGUCGUAGCUAACGCAU
rnacentral:rRNA from 1 species